rnacentral:rRNA from 2 species
AUGCAACGCGAAGAACCUUAUCCAGGGGUUUUGACAUCCUCUGACUACCCAUGGAAACAUGGAUUUUCCUGUUAAGGGGACAGAGUGACAGGUGCUGCAUGGCUGUCGUCAGCUCGUGUCGUGAGAUGUCGGGUUAAGUCCCGCAACGAGCGCAACCCUUGUUCUUAGUUACCAGCGGGUAAUGCCGGGGACUCUAAGGAGACUACCUGCGAUGAGCGGGAGGAAGGUGGGGAUGACGUCAAGUCCGCAUGGCCCUUAUGCCCUGGGCUGCACACGUGCUACAAUGGUCGGUACAACGGGCAGCGAAAUCGCGAGAUGGAGCAAAUCCCUAAAAGCCGGCCCCAGUUCGGAUUGGAGUCUGCAACUCGACUCCAUGAAUGCAGGAAUCGCUAGUAAUCGCGGAUCAGAAUGCCGCGGUGAAUACGUUCCCGGGCCUUGUACACACUGCCCGUCAAGCCAUGAAAGCCGGUA